UACCAGCCCCCUGAGUGAUAGGGACGAUUAUUUAGCCUAAAGCGUCCGUAGCCGGCUUAGCAAGUCUUUCGUUAAAUCUGACGACUUAAUCGUCAGGCCGCGGAAGAUACUGUUAUGCUAGAGGGCGGGAGAGGUUGACGGUAGUCCCUGGGUAGGGGUGAAAUCCUAUAAUCCUGGGAGGACCACCAAUGGCGAAGGCAGUCAACUAGAACGCGCCUGACGGUGAUGGACGAAAGCUGGGGGAGCAAACCGGAUUAGACACCCGGGUAGUCCCAGCUGUAAACGAUGCGGGCUAGGUGUUGGGGUAGCCACGUGCUGCUCCAGUGCCGCAGAGAAGUCGUUAAGCCCGCCGCUUGGGAAGUACGGCCGCAAGGCUGAAACUUAAAGGAAUUGGCGGGGGAGCACCACAAGGGGUGAAGCCUGCGGUUCAAUUGGAGUCAACGCCGGGAAACUUACCAGGGCUGACAGCAGAAUGAAGGCCAGAUUAAAGAUCUUGCCAGACAAGCUGAGAGGUGGUGCAUGGCCGUCGACAGUUCGUGCCGUGAGGUGUCCUGUUAAGUCAGGUAACGAGCGAGACCCUCACCAUUAGUUGCCAUCAGGUUCCAUAGGAACGCUGGGCACACUAAUGGGACCGCCACCGAUAAGGUGGAGGAAGGAGGGGGCCACGGCAGGUCAGUAUGCCCCGAAUGCCCUGGGCCACACGCGGGCUGCAAUGGUAGGGACAGAGGGUUUCUAACCUCGAAAGUGGAAAGUAAUCCCUAAACCCUAUCGUAGUUGGGAUUGAGGGCUGAAACCCGCCCUCAUGAACAUGGAAUCCCUAGUAAUCGCGCGUCAUCAUCGCGCGGUGAAUACGUCCCCGCUCCU
rnacentral:rRNA from 1 species